GUAGCUGCCUUACUUUUGGUGAGCCCAAGAGGGAGAAACUGGCAUUAGCUAGUAUUCACCCGGCUUGCUAAGAGGCAUUGGAGCAUAGAAGAGAUAAACUUUGAUGUGAGUGCAUCAGAGAGACCGAGGAGGAAUUUCAGUAUCAGCCCAAGGUACAGGGUGCUCUCUCGGAGGGCCCUGUCUUCCGUCCCUGCAAGUGAGAGCAGCGUCCCUGGAAUGGGUCUGAGGGACUGGCCUGGGAGAUGGUGAUGGUACACCUCUCCCUCACCCCUGUCAGGGUGGUUCCAUAACAGCUUCCAUGGGCCUCUACUAGAGGCCUCUAAAGAGGCCUCUUUCCACCUCUACUAUCACAUUCUCUGUGAUAGCACAAGAGUGGCAACAACUGAGGUGCAGGGUUCAAGCUGCAGACUACUAUCGCAGCAAAAUCUACUUUACGAGGAGGCGCUGGGACCACAGACCAUUUGGCACCCUGCUGCAUCAUGCCUUAGAGAUUGUUGACAUUUCCACAGGCCCUGCUGGAAUGCCUUGACUCUGGGGUGUCCGAAACUGUGGGUCUUGACCCUGUAGUAGCCUGAGAAAUAAAGUGACUGUGUCAUGACCAAUGUCAAAAACAGACAAGAAGACUAUGGAAGGUUUUGAAAAAAAUCAGAGGACCAAACAGAGAACAGGAACGCGUGCGUUUCAUGAAAUGUUUGUUUUGGUUGUUAUUGAGUCAACUGGGUCAAUACCUAAACGAUAUUUCUUGCUGGGAGUUUUAAAUGGAACAGCCUAAA